GAUUAUACUAUUUAACCAACCACC
rnacentral:miRNA from 1 species